UCUUGUCAACUGAGACCAAUUCUCCAUUUUGUCAAAGUUGUUUUAAAUUCUACUCCUGUCCUCCAAAGUGCUUACAUCUCCUCCCAGCUUGGUGUCAUCCACAAAUGU